rnacentral:hammerhead_ribozyme from 1 species
AUCCAGUUGACGAGUUUUAAUUAGAGUGAAACGCGCGUCCUGGAU